rnacentral:lncRNA from 1 species
CCAAGCCUUCAUGACCAUGAACAAAAUGAGGUUCUGGGUGGAGACUGAAAAGAUCCUUUCAGCUUAAAAGAGAUUCAUUAUGAAUAAGUAUACUGGGCAAUUUAAUUUUGAUUUAACCCAACUGAGUAAACUGCUCAUCUCACCUAGCAGCAUGGACCACAGUUCAAAUGCUUAGUUACUGUCAUAACUUGCUUACAAGUUCAAAUAGCUUCCCAGGCAAAUAAAACUGCAAAUGGUCAUUCAUUUCAUAGUUGACAGCAGGAGCCCAGAGUUUUAUUACAACAGCCCCUCUCAGAGGCCUUGGGUGAGCACAUGGACCUGCACCUCUGCUGAGACACCAAACUGGCUUUGUUUGGUGCUUCUCCCAGGGAAACAGAGGGAAUAUUGUCCUGGAUUGAUUUAAUUGCUAGUCCAUGCAAAGCUGAAAAUCUUACAGAGCAAGCAGGAAUAACAUCAUUGUCCUC